rnacentral:tRNA from 1 species
ACCUGGCUGGCUCAGUCGGUGGAGCAUGUGACUCUUGACCUCAGGGUUGUGGGUUCAAGCCCCAUGUUGGGUG